rnacentral:rRNA from 1 species
UAAUACGGAGGGUGCAAGCGUUAAUCGGAAUUACUGGGCGUAAAGCGCACGCAGGCGGUUUGUUAAGUCAGAUGUGAAAUCCCCGGGCUCAACCUGGGAACUGCAUCUGAUACUGGCAAGCUUGAGUCUCGUAGAGGGGGGUAGAAUUCCAGGUGUAGCGGUGAAAUGCGUAGAGAUCUGGAGGAAUACCGGUGGCGAAGGCGGCCCCCUGGACGAAGACUGACGCUCAGGUGCGAAAGCGUGGGGAGCAAACAGGAUUAGAUACCCUGGUAGUCCACGCCGUAAACGAUGUCGACUUGGAGGUUGUGCCCUUGAGGCGUGGCUUCCGGAGCUAACGCGUUAAGUCGACCGCCUGGGGAGUACGGCCGCAAGGUUAAAACUUAAAUGAAUUGACGGGGGCCCGCACAAGCGGUGGAGCAUGUGGUUUAAUUCGAUGCAACGCGAAGAACCUUACCUGGUCUUGACAUCCACGGAAGUUUUCAGAGAUGAGAAUGUGCCUUGGGAACCGUGAGACAGGU